UUAAUUUCUUUUUGACAUUUUCUAAAAUGAAACUCCAAACAUCUCAUUAUCUCUAUCUUCACUGUUUUAUUACAUAAAGCAGGCCUUAAUUACGACAUAAACGCUGAUUAUUACCUUUGAAGAUUCAGUUAACAUAGCUAGAAGAGACUUCACAUGUGAUUCAAGCAGAAUAUACAAUGUCACACAUUUGAACUACCCUUCAUUUGUUGUUCCAUUCCCAACCAAUAUUGAAAGUGCCAGUUCAAUCGCAAUCAAAUGUAGUCGGACACUGACUAAUGUUGGAUCGUCUGGAACAUACAACGUUAUCCAGUGGAAAUUAUAAUGUCGGCGAAUCACAUAUACUUUUUCCUUCAUUCAUGUUGGUCUCUAUCGCACACCUUUACUAUUUUGCUUUCCAAACAACAACUUAAGCCACCACACCAUCAGAUCUGACUGAAAAAACUCUUCAUCGCCAUGGCCGCACUCUAACCCACCUCUUUCUCCUCUGUAGUAGUCAGUGUCGCAUCUCUCUCACACUAUAGUGUGAAACAAUGGUGGCGUUCACCACUAGUCCCACUUCUCUCUCAAGCCACUGUGAUUCAAUGGUCUCCGACGAGCAAUGGGAGCAAGCAUUGCAUGGACAGUAUUUUGUUUAUUGGCAAUGCAUUGACAAAUGUGUUGCCCAAUGAUGCACUUUUGUAUAGGAACGACAGCUCUCAAUACAGCAGAAACAGUCACAUAGCUUUGUUUCUGUACUCAAGAGACUAUAUAGCAUCUUUCACUUCAGUCUCCCAAGUCUAGGAUGAAUAAUAGUUCCUUAUUCUUAUAAAUUGCAUCAUGCUAACUGCUAUGGCACUUUCAAACUACAUGAAUGUCAAAUGCUUCUGUCGUUGCACAAAA